UACAGAGGGUGCAAGCGUUAUUCGGAAUUACUGGGCGUAAAGAGCACGUAGGCGGUCAUGUAAGUCUGAUGUGAAAUCCCUGGACUCAAUCCAGGAAGUGCAUCGGAUACUGCUAGACUAGAGUACAGGAGGGGAGAGUGGAAUUUCUGGUGUAGAGGUGAAAUUCGUAGAUAUCAGAAGGAACAACAGUGGCGAAGGCGACUCUCUGGACUGUCACUGACGCUGAGGUGCGAAAGCGUGGGGAGCAAACAGG
rnacentral:rRNA from 1 species